rnacentral:lncRNA from 1 species
AAGGCACGACACGACACGGCACAUUAAGUAAUGGGCCCGGCCCGGCACGACACGAAGCACGACUUCCGAAAUAAAAGUGGCACAUCACGACACGGUGGCACGUUGACACCUCUACAAAGCGAAUGUCAAGUACACGAGCUAACACUCAGAGGUAUGCUUUUGAUUUUGACUGUCUCCAAACCACAACAUCGCAUAUCCGCGUUUACAUCCUGAGAUGUGAAGGGCUAGUUGCUCAGGGCGAUAGAAAUUAGUCUGGAUCGGUGCAGGUGACUUAGGAUACCUUGUCAUUAAUCCUAAAAAAAAUGGUAGAAAAAAUUCGAGCUGGCAGAUAGCGAUCCACCAAAAGUUAAAAAGAGAGGUGAGUUUAGAAAAAAAAAUUAUCCGAUGGAAAUUGUAAGAGUUUUAAAAUUAUUACCUGACUAAAAUUAGGUACGGUACAAGUUUUAUGUAAGCUCCGCCUAAAAACUCGACCCGAGUUAUCAUGCCACUCUCUAGGUUCUGUCUCUUUCUCUCUAGGGACUAGGGGUGGGUGGGUGAAUUUCGCCCUCAGUAGCUCAUUAAUGAAUGGCUUAGAUAUCCGAGUUAAGUAUAUUUAUUAGGAUUUUAUAACUUAAAAGAUAUAUAAGAUAUAAACUUCAGAUAAAAGAUAUAUUAAAUGCAUAUACGAAUAGAUAAUUAUUAUUAAAAAAAUAAACAAAAUAAAUUAAAAAGUAUAAUAAUUUUUAAAAAAGUUAUUUCUAAUUUGAGCGAAAUGAGUGAAAAAAAGAGGUGUUUUAGUAUUUUUGUGAAUCUCACUAAAAAAAUAAUUCAAUAGGUAAAAAAUAUGUUUAAUUUUAAAGACUUUUUAACAAUUGAAUCACAAUUUAUGUAGGCCCAACACUUUUGAGAAAAAAAAUGAUAUUUUUUUUAAACAAAUAGUUUUUGUGAAAUCUAAUUCAUUAGAUUAACUCAAAUGAAUUACAAUCAUAAAUAGUGGAAUAUAAUUUAAAUUUUUCAAAAAUAUUUUUAUCAUCUAUAAUAUAAAACACAACUCAUUUUGAAUCUCAAAUUUAUCUCUCGUUACUUACGGUUGAAAUCUAUUUGAAUUAAUCCAACGGCUAAAAUUUCACUUUAUACUAUUUUUUUCCUUCCAAAAAUAUCACUUCCUUCUUUUUAAAAGUGUGAAAUCCACGUAGGUUCUUAUCCAAUUGACAAAAUACCUUCAAAUAUUGACGUAUUUUUUACUCAUUUGAUCAUUUUUUUAGUGGAACUCACACACAAAAAAAAACUAAAACAACUCUUUCUUUUUUUUUAAUUUCUCCCAAAUUAGUAAUUUUUUUUUAAAUUAUUAUAGUUUCAAAUUUGUUCUCUAUUUUAUAGCAAUGUAUCUGUUCGUAUAUGCAUGCAAUGUAUCUUUUAUCUGACGUUUAUAUCUUAUUUGUUUUUUAGAUUAUAAAAUUUUAACGAGAACACUUAAAAGGUAGAGCUUUUUUUUUUACGUAAUGCCCGUUGCCGCGAAAAAUUACUAGUUUUUACAUAAAACAUCAAACUAUCGGGCUCAACAAAAUAUGAAAAGAGACAAAUUAAUUUUUUCUUGGGCAAAAAUGAGUGGUACCACAUUACAGUACACAAAAAAAAUUAAUAUUUUAUUGAGCUGAAAAUUGUCACCGCUUCUUUUGCAAAGUUAUAUUUAAAAAAACGGCAAAUUGGUCAGCAGCGUGUGGGAUCCACGCUAGCCUAAAUAGAUUAAGAACUUACCGCGUUAAUUAUUUCAAACUUGUUUAUUCGUGAUAGAGUGUGAAAGGAAGUUUCCCAGAAGGCAGAAACUAAACUACCUAAAUAGAUUAGGGCCUUUCCGCGUUAAUUAUUUUAAAAUUGUUUCUUCGUAAGACCUCCAUACCGAUGCGGUGAAGUGAUUGUUUAAAUUCUACAUUGUGAGGUUAUCCGAAAACCCCAACUCAUUUCUAUCUUCGGGUCCCCAUUCAAUUUCUCUCCUUUAAUUUCCUUUCUCCAAUGUUGCAUCCCGUUUGGCAAGUGUUAUUCUGUACGUCCUUGGGCUCUGUUCCUCUCUCUUAUGGCUAUUUCCAUCUAUGGAGAUGGAAUUCAUAAAAAAAAGCACCCCUCUGGUAGGCGGCGUUGUGUAUUUAAUAAUAUUAAUCUCAUGGUUUGGGGGUAACCUUGUGCUUUCUAUCAUUUUUGUCUCGUUGAUUAAAAAUCCCCGAACUGAUAAUUUCUUCCGUGGCUACGAAUGUGUGGGGAAAACCGGUGGACGUGUGCUUGUGUUGCUCGGCAACAUUGGCCUCUACUACUAUUCCGAGAAAUCCAUUGCUUGCAUGUUGACCUUCCUCUUUCUUGGAUUUUAUUGUCUCUGCACUUUCUUCUACAUCCAACCUUAUACAGAUUUUGGAGUUUUGGACUUCUUUCUCACCGCGAGUUUGACUCAGGCGUUGCGUCUGUUCGGACUCCAUAUCUACUCAUGGCUCGUUUUCAUUGCUGUCAUGGUCCUCGCAGGUCUGCGCUAUUAUCUAGAGCCAGCAUUUUUGCAGCAACCUCCUAGAGAAGUUGAGUCCGGCCAUAUGGCGAACGCAGAUUCUGAGGGAGAGGCGAGGGGUAUGAUCCAAGUAUUGCAACCUCGAAGAGAAGUUGAGUUGGAACGGAUCAGAUCGAAUGUCCCGGGUUUGAGGAUACCGAAUCGGGCGAGCGAUGUAAUAGAUCGCGCUUCAGAGCGGACAAGGAAGGAUCAAAAACGAAACCGCGGUAUAGAACGGGCGAGCAAUGUAAUAGAUCGCGCUUCAGAGCGGACAAGGACGGAUCAAAAACGAAACCGCGGUAUAGAACGGGCGAGUGAUGUAAUAGAUCGCGUUCCAGAGCGGAAAAGGAAGGAUCAAAAACUUAUAGAACGGGCGAGCGAUGUAAUAGAUCGCGUUCCAGAGCGGACAAGGAAGGAUCAAAAACGAAACAGCGAUACAAAACGGGCGAGCGAUGUAAUAGAUCGUGUUUCAGAUCGCGCUUCAGGGUGGAUAAGGAAGGAACAAAACGAAACGACAAUACAA